rnacentral:rRNA from 1 species
AGAGUUUGAUCAUGGCUCAGAACGAACGCUGGCGGCAUGCCUAACACAUGCAAGUCGAACGAAGCCUUCGGGCUUAGUGGCGCACGGGUGCGUAACGCGUGGGAAUCUGCCCUUGGGUUCGGAAUAACAGUUAGAAAUGACUGCUAAUACCGGAUAAUGUCUUCGGACCAAAGAUUUAUCGCCCAGGGAUGAGCCCGCGUAGGAUUAGCUAGUUGGUGAGGUAAAGGCUCACCAAGGCGACGAUCCUUAGCUGGUCUGAGAGGAUGAUCAGCCACACUGGGACUGAGACACGGCCCAGACUCCUACGGGAGGCAGCAGUGGGGAAUAUUGGACAAUGGGCGAAAGCCUGAUCCAGCAAUGCCGCGUGAGUGAUGAAGGCCUUAGGGUUGUAAAGCUCUUUUACCCGGGAUGAUAAUGACAGUACCGGGAGAAUAAGCCCCGGCUAACUCCGUG